rnacentral:snRNA from 1 species
GCAUGCAAGGCAAAUGCCCUACCCGCUGUGCUAUUGCUCCAGAUUUGGCUGAUGGCCGCCUAGGCGGGUGUCCCCUUCCUCCCUUGCCGCUCCAUGUGCAUCCCUGCCAAAACUGCACGCUCAGUUGAAGAAGACAGCCUUCCCCGAAUAGAGACGAACUGGUCUUCAGUCGAGGGUAUAUGAGUAGCUGCCCUCCCUGCAAGAAUCUCCAAACAAUCCGUCAAAUGCAAUUUAGAAAAGUAGAAUUCAGAACAAUUCCCUUUUCCUCUUUCACACCUUCUCUUCACUUGUUCUGGGACAGGUAGAGAGG